AAGAAAAACCCAAAAGCUGUAUAUACAUGAGCUAGCAAGAAAUACAAAAAGCCAAUGAAAAAGAAAAAAGAAAAAAGAAAAAAGAAAAAAGAAAAAAGAAAAAGAAAAGUAGUACUGCUAUUUAGCUAUUCGUUCUUGUUAGUUAUAGAGGCUUUACAGAAUAGUUGAAACCCUAAGUCCUCAAAUGAUAUUAUGACAAUAUGCGUAUUCUUUUUGAACUACAAAUGGGUUUCACUGUCACUCCACUAGCUAUGAAAACGAUAAAGAAAAGCAGGUUAAGGUAGCAUAUGACAUGAUCAAUUUAUCUACUUGGAGGAACAACAGACAAUAAUAAUAGAUACAAAAUAUGUAGCGUAUCGCAAAAUACGUAAGACCACUGAAUAUUAAGUAAAUCCAUUGAGGAAGAUGAUGAGUCCCUUUCGUCAUGAGAAUCAGAGAAGAGGAAAGCGACUCACACUACACCUUUCUCUCUCACACACAUAAACACACACAGAGAGAGAGAGAGAGAUGGUGUAUUUACAGAGUCUGAUAAGAUUGAACGUUCCCAUAUGGCAGAAUCUGCAGUGAAGUGGUAUGAAAAGGGUAAAACCAAUGAAACUCAUCUCUCUAGAUCUCGCGAAGGGAGAUAGAGAGCAGGUGGGUGUGUAUUGUUGUGUGUGUGUGAGAGAGAGAGAGAGAGAGAGAGAGAGAGAGAGAGAGAUAGAGAUAGAGAGCAGGUGGGUGUGUAUUGUUGUGUGUGUGUGAGAGAGAGAGAGAGAGAGAGAGAGAGAGAGAUUGUACAUUGGUAA
rnacentral:lncRNA from 1 species